AUGAUGCUUUCGCUCAGCCACACCAUUCUAUGCGUGAGCACCAUGACAAGAGAACUGAGAGAGAGUCCCUUGGUCAGCAAGAACACCACACAACAUCUUGGAAAUAUACUCGCCCGCGGAGUCAGCAAGAAACACACGAAUGGGCGAAGAGAACCGUGUGUGAACCAUGGCAGCAAAACCCUUGUAGAUGGACAAAACCUCACUGCGAGAAGUCAUAAAAUAAAGCCAAGUGUAACGAGAGAAAUCAUCUAUGAAAAUAAUAUAGUAUCGAUGUCCCUCUUUCGAAUGAAGGGAGUCGGACCCCAUACAUCGGAAUGGACUAAAUCAAAAGGACGCUGA
rnacentral:rRNA from 1 species